CCUACGGGCGGCAGCAGUGGGGAAUAUUGCACAAUGGGCGGAAGCCUGAAGCAGCAACGCCGCGUGAGCGAUGAAGGCCUUCGGGUCGGAAAGCUUUGUCCUCAAGGGAGAUAAUGACGGUACGUGAGGAGGAAGCCCCGGCUAACUACGUGCAAGCAGCCGCGGUAAUACGUAGUGGGCUAGCGUUAUCCGGAUUUACUGGGCGUAAAGGGUGCGUAGGUGGUUUCUUAAGUCAGAGGUGAAAGGCUACGGCUCAACCGUAGUAAGCCUUUGAAACUGGGGAACUUGAGUGAAGGAGAGGAGAGUGGAAUUCGUAGUGUAGCGGUGAAAUGCGUAGAUAUUAGGAAGAACACCAGUUGCGAAGGCGGCUCUCGGGACUGUAACUGACACUGAGGCACGAAAGCGUGGGGAGCAAACAGGAUUAGAUACCCGUGUAGUC
rnacentral:rRNA from 1 species